rnacentral:rRNA from 1 species
UACGUAGGGGGCGAGCGUUGUCCGGAUUUAUUGGGCGUAAAGAGCUCGUAGGCGGUUUGGCAAGUCGGGUGUGAAAACUCCGGGCUCAACUCGGAGACGCCACUCGAUACUGCUAUGACUCGAGUCCGGUAGGGGGGUGCGGAAUUCCUGGUGUAGCGGUGAAAUGCGCAGAUAUCAGGAGGAACACCGGUGGCGAAGGCGGCACUCUGGGCCGGUACUGACGCUGAGGAGCGAAAGCGUGGGGAGCGAACAGG